CCAAGUGGCACCAGUCUGCUUUCAUAAGUAUUCUAACAGUGGUAUAGAAACCCAGGUUGCACCUAUCUGGGCAGAAAGAAUCAUCAGCUGCUCUGAACAAAGCCAAUAUGGCUGCAAACAUGGCUUUGUGAUUAAAACAAGAGGAAAAAGGACACUUUUUCUCAGAUCAGACACUGAGUGGCUGACAAAGAAAAUAAAAGAGGGAGCCCUGCAGUGUCCUCCAGUGAUUUCUAAAUAGGAAUAAUGAAGCAAACCUGAAGCACUUUCUGCUGAUCUGCUACUUCACAAUGCUGCAGGGUGGCUUCACAAUUUUUUUACAGUUUCACACUUUAUUUUUGUAAAUGAUUUAUUGAGCUUAAUGAACACGCAUCUGCUGUAAAAUUUAGUAAAGAUGUUGGCAAAUAGGUUUCAAGUUCUCUUAUUCUGUCUGUAAACUGACACCAAAGAUAAAUCAUAUUAAAAUGCUUUAAAUUCUGA